CUACGUUAUAAUGUGGAUGGACAAAUAUUGUGUGGACGUGUGGACAAUGCUAUUCUAUGAGAAUUAUUAAGAAAAUAAGUUGUUUAGUAAUGUGAAUACAUUCAAUCUCACACAAUUAUUGUUAUUUUCAUGCAUUCUUACUAAUUUUUAUUCAUUUUUGUUCUCACGUAUCGUUUUUCACUUAUUUUAAUUCUUACAGAAUACGACUUAAUAAACAUUCUAACGGAAUGAGAAUAAUUAAAAAAAUUUAUAAUAACCUUAUAGACGAUUUAAUUAGUGAGAAUGCAAAAUAAUGACGAUAGUUAUAUAAGAUUGAACGUAUUCAUAUUAAUAAACAACAUUUUUUUUGUCAUUCUCACAGAAUAACAUUAUCCACACGUCCACACAAUAGAUGUUAAUCCACAUUUGAACCUAGCUCUCUCUCUCUCUCUCUCUNNNNNNNNNNNNNNNNNNNNNNNNNNNNNNNNNNNUAUAUCUUCUAUUUUACCCAUAUAUAUCUUCUAUUUUUUUUAACUAAUCUCUAUCAAUUCUCUCCAUCUUUUACAAAAUUCAUUUCAAAAAAUUUGUAAAAUGUCUUCUUCCAACAAUCUAAACAACCAAAAAACACCCGUUAGAACCACCACACCCGCUAAACCUAUGAUGGAUCAACCGGUUUAUUUGCCCCCGUUUCAUUAUUAUGGUGGUAUGGUAUCAUAUUUUCCAAAACAAUUUUAACAAUCAUAACGAUCAACACAACCACAAAUACAAAGAGCACCACAACCCGAUCCAAAUUUUAAUCUGUUUGAGUUUUUGUCUCAACCCGAGUUUGUUUAACAAACACAAUCAUAACAUCAAACACCCAUUUCUGAUUCUGAACUAGAAUUCGUUUAAGAAACUCAACUCACUCAAGCACCAAAUAAAAGAAAAGAGAAGGCGUCGGCUAAAAAUUGGAAAGACGACGAAUGUUUAGUAUUGGCACAAGCAUGUAUCAAUAUCUUGAAUAUGUGAAGACAGGCAAAUACCAAAAACACAAUUAUUCUUGGAUGCUAGUUAAACAUAGGUUCUACAAAGGAAUAAACCUUCAUGAGUAUCGUACAAAAGACCAAGUUUACUUAAAACAAGGUAAGAUGAACAAGGAAGUCAUGUUGUUUAGCAAUUUGUAUAACAACAUGAAAAGACAAUGGAGAAGUGGCAAAAGCGAUGUCGUGAUUUUGCAGAAAGCUUUAAAAGUCUACGAACAAGAAAACGAAAAGCCUUUCAAGUUUGUUGAAGUUCGGAAUCUCGUCAAAAACAACAAAAAAUGGAAGUUGAACAAAACAUCCGACAACCAUAUCGAGAGUGGUUCAAAAUGGUCAAGAACAUCUUAAUCUAAACGCACCACAUUCAAUGUUUGUGUUCGUUUCGACGUCAAUGAAGAUGAGCCAGUUCAAAAUUCACCACAUUCUCGACCAAUGGGAAUAGAUAAAACAAAAAACAAAGGCAAAGACAAAACGUCAGAUUCAGAUGAUUUGAAAGACACCGUGGACGAUAUGAAAGGUAUAAAAGACAGACUGGACAAAAUUUUACAAAUUGCUUCGGAAAGAGAGGUUCGGAAACAAAGGGAAAACAACUUCAAAUACUAACGAUGAACACAUCAUAGCUGACCGGGGAGAACCUUGCAAUUGCUUUGACAAUGAAAGUCGGUGUCAAAAAACGUUAUGCUAAGUUGGAUUCUUUUUAAUCGUAUGGUGUGUUUUUUUUUGUGUGUGUAGGUAUAAGUUUUGUAUUUUUUUUUUUAUGUUUUUAGGAUUUUAUUUAAUUUAAUAAUAUUUUUGUUUUAAUUAAUGAAAUAUUAUAUUUUUAAAUAAAACUAAAGUUUUUAUUUAUUAAAUAAAAAAAAAACAAGUGUGGCACCACUCCUUGGGUGUGGUAAGAAACCACACUUUUGUGGUAAAUGUUGAGGUGACACUUAGGAGGCACUGUAGUAACNNNNNNNNNNNNNNNNNNNNNNNNNNNNNNNNNNNNNNNNNNNNNNNNNNNNNNNNNNNNNNNNNNNNNNNNNNNNNNNNNNNNNNNNNNNNNNNNNNNNNNNNNNNNNNNNNNNNNNNNNNNNNNNNNNNNNNNNNNNNNNNNNNNNNNNNNNNNNNNNNNNNNNNNNNNNNNNNNNNNNNNNNNNNNNNNNNNNNNNNNNNNNNNNNNNNNNNNNNNNNNNNNNNNNNNNNNNNNNNNNNNNNNNNNNNNNNNNNNNNNNNNNNNNNNNNNNNNNNNNNNNNNNNNNNNNNNNNNNNNNNNNNNNNNNNNNNNNNNNNNNNNNNNNNNNNNNNNNNNNNNNNNNNNNNNNNNNNNNNNNNNNNNNNNNNNNNNNNNNNNNNNNNNNNNNNNNNNNNNNNNNNNNNNNNNNNNNNNNNNNNNNNNNNNNNNNNNNNNNNNNNNNNAAACCCGUGUGUUACACGGGUUGAUUAAAAAAUAAAAUAUUAAAAUAUAAAUAAUAAGUAUUUUUUAAAAUAAAAUUUUGAAAUAAGAAAUGAAGAAACAUAUUAAUUAAAUUUUAUUAUAAUAUUUGUUACAUUGAUACUUUACAUAUAUAAUUAUAAGAUUGUGUGGCUAUUUAAUUUUAGAAAUUAAAAAAAAAAACAUAAAUUGACUUUUAGAUAUUAUUUAAUUAAAAAUAUCACAAAAUGACAAGUGUCAAAACUCAUUAGAGAUUGAUAUGUGGUAAAAAAAACCUUUAUUUAUUAGAGAUGACUAGUUGUAAUACUUAUGUAUUACAUGUGUUAAUUUAAAAAAAAAAGUUAAAUAUAGAGGUCAAAAUUUGAGAACUUUGAAUUUAUAAGAAAAUAAAAAAAUAAUAAUGAAUUAUUAUAAUGGAAAUGUUUUAUCUUUUCAAUUUAAACAAAUAAGUUAAAUAAAUAAAAGAAAUUAAUGACUUUUAAUUUUUGGAAUUUUAUAAUUAAAAGAUAAGUUCAUUGAUGAAAUUAAUAUUCAUUUAUUACUACAUUUAUUAUAAUUAUUACAUUAAAAUAUUAUGUGAAAUUCCAUAAAAUAGAAAAUAUCAUAAAAUGACAUGUGGAAAAAGAAUUAAUUCAAAAUAACUUUAAAAUAACCUUUGACAAAUUGAAUGAGAGUGUGACAUGUGGCAAAAAAAAAACUUUCGUUUAUUAGAGAGUAGUUGUGAGACCCAUGCAUUAUAUAUGCUAAUUUUUUUAAAAAAAAGUUGAAUAUAAAAAUCAAAAUAUUUGAUAACUUUGAAUUUAUAAAAAAAAUAAGAAAAAUAAUGAAUUAUUAUAAUGGAAAUUUUUUUAACUUUAAAAUUAAAACAAAUAAUUUAAAUAAAUAAAAUAAACUAAUAAACAUUAGUUUUUGAAAUUUAAAAUUAAUUUGUAAGUUCAUUAAUAAAAUUGAUAUAUAUUUAUUACAAUUAUUACAUUAAAAUAUUAUGUGGAAUUUGAAAAAAAUAGAAAAACUCAUAAAAUGACAUAUGGAAAAAAUUUAAUUCAAUAUAAGCAUAAAUGUCAUUUGGCAAAUUGAAUAAGAGUGUAACAAGUGACAAAAAAAAAUCUUCAUUUAUUNAAAGAUUUCUAUAAAAUGUGAAGUAACAUUAAUCACUUUUUUUAAAAUUCAUAACAUUAACAUUUUAUUCAAAACAUCAGAGCGUCCCAUCUUAACAAAUGUCGGAGAGUGCACGUCGUGUCAUCAAGCCUUGCCCUUACCCUUAGGCUCAGAUAUACCUUAAACAAAUCAACAAAUUGUAAGCUAAUACUUAGUGAGUUCCCCAGAGCAUACCCCACACAUAAUCCACAUAACAAAUAUCAUAUUAGCUAUAAAGCUACAUAUAUCACAUAAGUCAUGCAUAUAAACAUAUACCGAUGCCGUGGAAACCUUCCAAGGUCUUACACCAAGUGUCAAUAGAAACCCCCAUGUUGAGUUAAAGUUUUGUUGAAGAUUGCGUCAUUUGGGCUCGGCUAUUUAUUUACUUUAUUUAUAUUCCGGUUUGGGCCUGUCCAACCGAGAGCCCAUUAUGUUUAGUAUAUUAGUAUAUGCUUGCAUGCAUAUUAAAAAAACGAUUGAAAAAUAUAGAUCAGAGCAUAACGAUAUAAUUUACAGAUUUCUUUAACCGUUCUUGUAACCUACCAAUCCUCUACAGUUGAUGUUCUUAAUCGAGCUCUUCUGAGGAUUUUGUUUAAUCAUUCGACACGUUUGAUUCACCCUUGUCUCGUUCUUAUUUUCGUGUUCUUACAGUUUUAUAUUUACUUACCUGUUUAAGAUCUAAUCGAUCUUCAUAGAUUAAAGGUUUUAAAUCUCAUUAAUUGGUAUCAGAGCAGGAGGCUGUGUAAUCGAUACACAUCUUUUCUGUGAAAAGGUUUAAAUUAGGGUUUUUCCGCAAUUACUGAUAUUUAUUGAGCCGUCAUCUCAUUAUUGACGUAUCUUGAUAUUUAUUGUUUUGCCCUAAUCUGAGUAAUUACAAGUCUGAUCUUUUAACAGGUUUUUUCGAUCAUAAUGGACGAGUCGCAAUCAAAUCCUAUCAAUAUUUCCAACAGCAUCGGUUCGACGACAAAGAUUCCAAUCCUAUAUACCCAUGACUAUGAAGUCUGGGCGCAUCACUUCGAAGACUACGUGAUAGGAUCUGAGGAUAAUGGAUACCUCAUAUGGGAAGCUAUCAUUAAUGGACCUUUUUCUCAUUCUGCAACGUCCAGGAUUAUCAAAACUCAAAAGGAGUACAAUGAUCUGCUGAAGGAUGUUAAAGAUAUUGCACAAGAUGAAAAGGAUAAAUUCCAGUGCAAUAUCAAGGCGUUAAGAUUGAUUAGAUUUGCCCUUCAAUCCAACACCUUCAGGUUGGUCAGAUCUUGCACGACGGAAAAGGAAGUUUGGGAUAGACUUCGUGAACUGUACUCUACAGACGAGGAUCUUGAACAUUCUAUCCAAACCUUGCUCUUAUCUGAGUUUGGAGAAUUCAGGCAAGGAGCCGAAGAAACAGUGACCCAGACGUUCGAUCGCUUCAAUCAUCUUCUCAGCAGGAUGAUCAAACAUGACAUCGAAAGGAAGCUUAUCGAGCAGAAGGUUACAUUCUUAAAUGGUCUGAGGUCUGAAUGGAGAGCAGUGGUGUCUACAGUCAAAGCCCAUGAGCAGUUUAAAUCAUAUUCUUUGGCGAAACUGGUGGGUAUUCUCAAGUCCCAGGAGAAGAUUGUACUGCAGGAGAAGAACGUUGUUUCAAGCCUUGGUUCGCUGGCCCUCCUGUCAAAAAGUAAAGCUGUGAUGGAGGAUGAAGACCUUAACUUGGAGGAGUAUGACCUCACGUCUGAGGAUUAUGCUAUGAUGGUGUCUAACCCCAAGAGGUUCAUAAAGAAGAGAUUCCCCAGCAAUAAAAACCGAAACUGGCAGGGGAGUUAUAGUUCAGAAAAAGUUAACAAUGAACCGAAGGUUGAAGAGCCCAAGAAGGAACCGAAGGUGGAUGGUGAUUCUGGAGUAAGCUGUUACUACUGUGGUGGGAAAAACCACUAUGCUAAAGAUUGUGUCCUUAAAAAGAUGGCUGAAAAGGAUGAUGAAAAGGAUGAGGAAGCUGUGCUGCAGAAAAGGCUCGAUGAGAUGAGAAAGAAGAAGUCUACCGCUAACCCUUCCAUGAAUGCUCUUAUUGUGCAGGGUUCGGUUGCUGAUGACGAGUUCGGUAGCGUGGAAGUUUGGUCUACCGACUCAGAAGACGAUGAAGUGAGGAAGCCUACUCAUGGAAAGGCUUAUGUGGCAAAGGAGGAGAGCAGUGGAGGAAGAUGCUUCAUGGUGUCUGAUGUAUCUCAGAUGAGGGGAUACAACACUGAUGGUGGAAGCAAUGAACCGAAGGGGCAGGAGGACAUGUGCUUUACGGCCAAACCACUCAGCCAGCAGUUCAAUGAGCUUGAUGAACUGAUAAAGAAGGUACAAUCGGUUUUCAUUUCAUUUAAAGUACCACAAUCCUCAUAUGAGAAAGAACUAAAAAAUGUUAAUACAAGAAUUUCUCAUCUAGAUAGUAGCUUAACUCAAACUCGAGUCACCAAUUCUAACCUAACUGAUCAAUUAAGCAGGGUGUCUUCGAAGAGUGAGGAGCGGCGCAUGUGGAUCGAGUUGAAGGAGUCUGAAUUAGUUAAAAUUAAAGACGAAAACAUUUAUUUACAAAGAGACAAUUUAAAGUUGUUAAAACAGCGGAAUGUUUUUUGUUUAAUUGCAAAACGUCUUUAUUCUAAUAUUACUCAGCUUCACUUGGACUGUGAAAUAGGCCAAAAGAUCCAUCGCAUGAUUUUGCCCUUCCUUGAGUUUAAGGAGGAUGAAAUUGAUGCCGAAGCUUAUAACUGUGAGAGUGUGAUAUCAUCUGAUGAUGUCAAUCCGACCUACAUGUAUGGACUGGACAAAAUUGAGUCCUUCAUUAAAUCCAAGGACCACAAGGACAUGCUUAAAAACCUUUUGGAUGAAAAUGAUAGACUUAAACUGAGAACCGAAACCAUACAAAAAUUUGACUCUUUAAACGCCAACGUAAGCUCAGAAAACAAAAUUGAUGUUGAAAAUGCAUCUGAGCUUAACGAGGACGACAACAUGAGUGAAAUUUCUGUAGAGGACACGGUUGACUGCUCAGAAUUUGUAAAAAGCGAACCUGAAAACCACAAGAAUCUAAUUUCUGAAAAUUCAGUGGAGUUCGCUCGAUUGUCCCAACAAAAGUCCCCGAUCUUAGCAGAGAAAGCAGUUGUGUAUCAAAAGGUCAGGACCACUCCAAAUCAAGUAUACAAGGUCACUGGAGUAACCGAACAUCAGACGGCUGAACUCACAGCUAUUGUAAACGAAGACAAUGCUGAUGGCUGUGAUGAGUACUUCUGGUCAGCUCCAAUAGAUAAUGCAAACGAAACGGUAGGCUUAUCAGAAAGAACCUCCUGGAUGAGUAAAGGUAGAUACAUACCUGAACCCUUGAAUAAGCCAGAUAAUUUCGAUGAGCCAAGCACCAGUGGUACGAAAGACAUUCCUCAGGAGAAUGAAAGUUCGGCAAAAGAAGACGUUCCCUCUACUUCCUCAGUUCAAAGUGAAACUCCUACAGUUCAAAAUGAACCAGCCAAGGAGAAACCGAAAAUGAAAGCUAAUAUUCAUCAUCAACCGAAGCAGAUGAGGAAUAAGAAACGUGAAAGGAACCAAAGAUACAGGAAGAAUCUCUCUGAAAGGAGGCAAUUCUGGCAAUCCCAGAAUGCAUACUUCUCACAUCAAGACAAGAAUCUGAAGUAUGAAAACAAUCCUGUCGGAAAGCCUGAGAGCCACAACAACCGAAAGCCAAGGUUCGGUUCACAAGAGAAUACCAACCGAAAGCAAAGGUUCGGUUCUGAGAAUGACUUCAACCGAAAGCAAAGGUUCGGUUCAAAGAACGACUCCAACCGAAAGCAAAGGUUCGGUUCUGAAGUCAAAAGAGAUCAAAACUCUAAGGUCAGUCCCACCAAUGAUCAAAAGCAAAAGGGUCACCUAGAGUCUCCAGCCAAGAAGUCAUCUCAAUCUAAGCCCACUCCUUCUCAUUCAUCUAAUUCUUCUAAUUCUUCCAAUUCAUCUCCAUCUUGCUCUAAAGCUCAUUCUGUUCGUUCUCAAAAAUCUCAUUCGUCAGCUGAACAAAAAGGCAAACAGAAGGUUAAUGCAUCCAAACCAGAGUCUAAACCGAACGCACCUAAUCCUAAUAAAAUAAAAGUCUUUACCAUUAAAAAGAAAGAUGAAACAACACUUAUAAAACGAACAUAUCUUGUUGACAUCUCUCUUACUAUUCCUGUUCCUAUGAAAAGCUCACGUGGACCCAAGAAACUUUGGGUUCCUAAAUCUGCUUAAUUUUUGCAGGUUAUAAGUGACGAGCAGUUCGACGAAGAAUGGUACAUCGAUAGUGGCUGCUCGCGUCACAUGACAGGAAGGAAAGAAGAGCUCAGGGAAUACAGGUCUCUUUCAAAUGGUGGCAACGUCAAGUUUGGAAACAACUCUUUCGGCACCAUAAAGGGAUACGGAAUGAUAACUAAUGGUGAUUUUACUAUAAGGAAGGUGGCUUAUGUGGAAGGACUACAACACAACCUCAUCAGUGUAUCUCAGCUUGUUGGAGGUACAGGUCUCAAAGUCUCAUUCGAUGAUGAAGGUUCUGAAAUUAUUGAGAAGAAGACAAAGAAAGUAAUUCUCAAGUCGGAGCGUAAGGGUGAAAUGUUUCCUCUAAACCUUAAACCCAUCAAAGGAAACCCAGCUAUAUGCUUGUUAUCAAAAGCUCAAUCUGACGAAAGCUGGUUGUGGCACCGAAGACUCUCUCAUCUCAACUUUAAAGAUAUCAACAAACUUGUCACUGGAGGUCAUGUUCGAGGCCUUCCAUUGCUCAAGUUCGACAGAGAUCAUUUGUGUGCUGCAUGCGAAAUGGGGAAGCAGAGUCGUCAAAGUCAUCCAUCUAUAAUUAACACAAAAGUUGUUGAACCACUCGAAUUACUUCAUAUUGAUUUGUGUGGUCCAUCAUCUAUCGAAAGCAUCGGUGGUAGCAAGUAUAUUCUUGUUAUUGUUGAUGACUUUUCACGAUUUACAUGGGUGUUCUUUCUAAAGCUCAAAUCUGAAGCGACUCAUAAGCUGAAAGUGUUCAUCAAGCAGAUUGAAGUACAGCUCAAGAAGGUCGUUCGCAACAUCAGGAGCGACAAUGGUCUGGAAUUCAAGAACAGGGAAUUUGAAGAAUUUCUAGCAGAAAAGGGAAUAAGUCACAACUUCUCAGCUCCCUACACACCUCAACAGAACGGAAUUGUCGAAAGACGAAACCGAUCUUUGUGUGAAGCUGCCCGAACUAUGCUAAGUUUCGCUUCCUUACCUCUUUAUUUUUGGGCUGAUGCUAUUUCUGCUGCUUGUUUUACACAGAACAGGUCUUAUCUCAACAAACGAUUCACGCUCACACCAUACGAGAUUCUCAACAACAGAAAGCCCAAUGUGAAAUUUUUCCAUGUGUUCGGCUCACGGUGUUUCAUCUUUAACUCUAAAGAACACCGCAACAAGUUCGAUGUCAAAGCCGACGAGGGAAUCUUUCUGGGCUACUCUCUCACAUCCAAAGCAUACAGAGUCCUAAACAAGCGUUCGAGAAAAAUUGAAGAGACAUAUUACGUGACCUUUGACGAUAGCUAUGUCAAAAAGCUACAAGCCAAAGAAGACACCGCUGGGGAAAUCUUUCCUCAAACUGGCCAAGUCACAGUCUCGAUCGCUAAUCUAUACGAGAAAUUUCUGGAGCUCUUUGACGAACCAGAGAAAGCUUCUCUCUCAGAAGCAGGUGCAGCAGACAACAAGGUAGACCACAUGAAGCAAAUUGUCGAAGAAGCUGCCAGGAGAAUGAAUGAAGGAGGAUCGACUUCUGAUGAACCUCCAUCCAACGAUGCUUCAGUCGAGGGGGAGCCAAGCUCACAUGUCGAGGGGGAGCCAAGCUCUACAACUGCAACCGAAAGUGCUUCUCCAACCGAAGGUGCAUCAACGCCUGCAAGUCCAGCAUCACAAGAAACCUCUGAACCUCAAGUUUCUCAAAGCUCAUCAAUCGAGGGGGAGCAUGAUGAUAUGACGCUUGACUACGAAAGCCAAUCCGAGCCAGAAGAAAUGAUCAAUGCUGAACUAGACCCAACCUUUGAUCCAAAUUAUCCUCCUCUUACCAAAUGGACCAGAGAUCAUCCUAUCUCUCAAGUGGUUGGUGAUGUCUCUGAAAAGGUUCUGACCCGAUCACAACUGAAGGCAAAACAGACAUCCUUAUUUUCAAAGGUUGAGUUUUGUAUGUUUAACUCAUUCGUAUCAAAAGUUGAACCGAAGACAGUUAACACUGCUCUCGAUCACUCCGAUUGGGUUCAAGCAAUGCAAGACGAACUGAACGAAUUUGAAAGGAACAAAGUCUGGCGCCUCAUUCCAACUCCUCCAGAUGCCUCGGUUGUUGGUCUCAAAUGGGUCUUUAGGAAUAAAAUGGACAAGGAAGGGAAUGUUAUAAGGAACAAAGCUCGUCUGGUAGUAAAGGGAUAUUGUCAGGAGGAAGGGAUUGAUUAUGAAGAGACUUUCGCUCCUGUAGCUAGGCUGGAAUCUGUAAGAAUAUUUCUUGCUUAUGCUGCCCACAAAAACUUUGAAGUUUUCCAAAUGGACGUCAAGUGUGCAUUUCUUAAUGGAGAACUCGAAGAAACCGUGUAUGUGGAGCAACCUCCUGGGUUCGUGAACGAAAAGUAUCCAAAUCAUUGCUAUAUUCUGGAUAAAGCUGUGUAUGGCCUCAAACAAGCUCCGAGAGCCUGGUAUGAAACGCUAACUAAAUUCUUAAAGAUGUCUAAAUUCAAACAAGGUUCGGUUGACCCAACCUUCUUUCGCAAAAAGGAAGGUAACCACCUUAUGAUAGUUCAAAUUUAUGUCGAUGACAUCAUCUUUGGCUCAACGAAUCCCAGCCUAACAGCUGAAUUCAGAAAGCUGAUGGAGACUAAAUUUGAAAUGAGCUCAAUGGGUCCUAUUAACUUUUUCCUUGGUUUAAAUAUUAGACAGGGACCCGAAGGCAUCUUUAUCAAUCAGGAAGCUUACACGAAGACUCUCCUAGCAAAGUUUGGUAUGAUGGGAGACUCCAAAGUCAAAGUCCCAAUGGCAUUCGGCACCAAGCUAACUCCAUCCCUAGACAAACCGGCUGUUGAUAUCACGCUCUAUCGUCAAAUGAUAGGCUCACUAAUGUAUCUUACUGCUAGCAGGCCUGACAUCAUGUUUUCUGUGUGUUAUUGUGCUCGAUUUCAGGCGAACCCACGCGAACCUCACAUGCUUGCAGUGAAGAACAUCUUACGCUAUCUCAAGCGAACCACCUCCUUAGGUCUAUGGUAUCCUUCCAACUCAGGCUUCUUCGUUCAAGCCUAUUCUGAUGCUGACCUUGGAGGAUGUGGACUCGACAGAAAAAGCACAACUGGUGGCUGUCAAUUCCUUGACGGGAAGUUGGUCAGCUGGCAAUCCAAGAAACAAACGUGUGUGUCGUUGUCUACUGCCGAAGCGGAAUACAUUGCCGCUGCAUCCUGCACAUCCCAAGUGAUUUGGAUCCAGAGUCAACUUCGAGACUAUGGACUCAAUAUGAAGAAGAUCCCACUAUAUUGUGACUCUGAAAGUGCAAUUAGGAUCUGUCACAACCCAGUGCAACACUCUAAAACCAAACAUAUAGCACUGAGGUAUCACUUCAUCAAAGAUCACGUGGAAGAUGGAAACGUCGAAGUUCACUUUGUAAGGACCACUGAUCAACUGGCUGACGUCUUUACCAAAGCUCUUCCUGAAGCAUCAUUCAACAGAAUACUGCAAGGGCUAGGUAUGAUGGAAUCAGAGUCAGUACCUCACACUAUCUCUCAACCUCAAACGUAAGAAGCGAAUCUAACCGAACGUUCAGGUUCGGUUAAACCAUCUGAUUCGCUCAUCACUACAAAGGUAGUUUUUCUUUGUUGUAUAUUUCUUGUACAAAAUUUGUUUUUCUUAAUAUUGAAAGUAUUUUCCAAUUGCAUGUCUAAAUCCCUUGGUUUCUCAAAAUUUUCCAAAACCGAAACCUACCGAAGGUUCGGGUUCGGUUUUUCAAAAUUUCGUUGAACUGAAACCAACCAAACGCCCGGGUUCGGUUUUUCAAAAUUUUCUGAAACCGAAACCAACCGAACACUCGGAUUCGGUUUUUCAAAAUUUUCUGGAACCGAAACCAACCGAACGCUCGGGUUCGGUUUUAAAAGUUUUUUUUUUAAUCUCAUUUUUUUUAGUUAUUUUAUUUUUUUUAUAAAUCUCAAAACCUCCAAAAAUAUUUUUUUUAUUUUUUUAUUGUGUGUUUGUUUGUUUAUGGGGAUAUAAAUGUUGAAUUAAUUAAGUGUCCCUAGAAGCAUGCUGCUGUAUGUGUCUCAAGCCUCAUAAGAUUUUGAAUAAUAGCCUUCAUGACCUGGUAUACACAAACCUUGUCUUCCCAAUAAGGCUAACACAUUUAUUCUAAUCAUGAGCUACCUCACUCUUUUCUCACAUGAGUUAAGAGUUUUUCUGCUUGGUCCUUAUUUUCGCAGCAGAGGUACUUUAUCUUCUUACACCAUCUCCAUUACACUUCUCCAUUACAUUCGUUUCAUCAACGUAACCCUUGAGACUCUCAGAAAUUACCACUGAGGUUUAUGGUUACACAACAUCUGUGUUUAUGAUCUUAGUUUCGUGCCACUACGAGCUGAGUGAAACCCAAAAUUCAACACCAAAUAUGAAUUGACGGUUAACAAUUAAUUUUCUCAAGUCUUCACCAAUGAAUUGAUGAAUGUACCUUCAUGAAAUCUCAAAUUUUACUUUGUGUGAUUCCUAUGAAAUUUUUAAACACCAUAACAUUUCUUCCCUUGGGAUCCAAUUUUUAAUUUUUUUGAGAUUUUAUAUUUUCCAAAGCCAAUUUAAAGUCACAUCCUACCUACUUGUUCAACAGACUACACCGGUCUCACAAGUACUUUGUUCACUUUCUUUCUUAUUUCAAGAUUAGAAUUGCUGAAUCAAAGCGAAAGCCACCUUUACUUAGCCUAAUUAAAAGAAGCCUUUCAACAUUUCUUAAAAAGUGUUUGAUCGUAAUUCAACGGGAAUCCACAUUAACACUUUAAGGUCUCUCUUGACCUUGAAGGAAGAGAUUCGUGCCCGGGAUCAUCAGUUUCGUGUCAUUAUUGACAUCACAGAUAAUCCUAAAAAGAGUUGCUUUAUUUCUUUUCUUUUUACACUCUUUGCACGAAAAUCUUUGAUUUUCCAAAAUUCCGUUACUAAUUUAUUUCAGGCUGAUUUAUUACUUUUGGUGGUUAAUUAUGAAGCUGUGGUCAAAAAUAAUCCACGUGGGUCUUUUAUUCAAAAGAUGUCAUUUAAAAAGAUAAGACGAAAGGUUGCUGACUCGGCGGGAGUUAAACGGAUUAAAAUUCAAACGACGGUAAAAAAGGGGGCGCGUGUGAAUUUGAAACGCCCAUACUUUUACUGACAUCAUGGACGCGUGUGCAAAUUUCAAGCGCCAUCUCUCUGGCACUUAAAGGCGCGUGAGGAUUUGAAACGGUUUUCUUCUGAAACGACGCUUGUUGGGUGGCGUGAUCCUAGGAAUCUGACACUCUCUCUCCUACGUGAUCAUCGCAUAGAAGAUAUGAAACGAUUUUUCUCUCUCCAAUCCCUCACUAUAAAAGGCAGUCUACACUCUCAUUUACCUUUUUACUGCUUCCGGAUUUUCUAGAGAGCAAAAACUCCCAAAAGCUUCACUGUUCAUCUUCUUCUUCUACUACCUUCAACAAUGGCGGAAUCAUCCUCAGUCCAUGCUACCUCACAAAUCCUUCCUAUUCGUCCUCAACAAUGCCUGGUGAUCGAUCUCAACCCUCUGGCGUACGACUCCUACAUGUCGCCGAUCAUCGAGUGCCUGAAGUACUCCCAAAUCGCUCCGGCUCUCUCCAGGAUCGAGUCCGUGCCCAUGGCGUCUCUCUCGCAGGUUUAUGCGACUGCCUAUUACGACAAAGCAGUCGAGCGGGUGUUCUUCGAGAUUGCUGAACACAAGACCUCUAUUUCUCGACAACGUUUCUGCACAAUGCUAGGGUUGGCUGUUGACCCAUCGAGAAUAAAUCCGGAGACGAUUCCGGUUGGGUAUCUGUAUAACAUGUUUUACAAUAUGGGGUACACGGAGGUCCUCACCUCCGUUGCAAAGUUCAAGAAGUCCUGCUUGCCGCCACAGUGGAACGGCGUGUUCACAGUCCUCUUCAAGGGCUUGUCGGAACGGAGCUCAGGGUACGACGGUGCUAGUCGACUUUUCUUGUCGAUCAUGUAUGCAGUCUACAACGGGGUCAACUUGGAUUUUGGGUUGGUCCUCUGGCAACAGCUCAUCCAGAGCCUUUCUUCAUCAUCACGACACUCUGAGGUGUCGCUGGCCCGGUUCUGGAUUUUAAUCACAAAGUGGGCGAUGGACAAGUUCGACAUUCCCACUGCUGCAGGUGCAUCGAUGUCUUCAAUCGGUACGUUUCAUACCAAGAAGAUCAUCGUCUCGGAUGCAUCUAAAUUCUCAUUCAUUGGCUCUAUUCCGGAGACAAUGUAUGGCGACGUUCCCUCUAACAGCAGGCUAAUCCGGACGAUCAAGGAGUUCAGGGCAACUGGACCUAGGGAACUUACACCGGAAAUGCUGAAGUCCAUCCAUGAUGCUGACAAACCGGUGAACAGGGGCAAAAAGGCGGACAAAGGGAAGCAAGCGACCAAAGCUCCUAAGGGUCCUUCUCCCAAGAAGAGGAAACAGCCUAAAGCUGCACAGUCCCCACAACCGAAGAGGAGGAAGACUCAACAGAAGCGAAAGCUUUUUAUUCCCUUUUCUUCGAGUGAAUCAGAAAACGAGCGUUCGGGUUCGGAAGGCUCUCAAGGAGGCGAAACCUCUCAACGAGGCAACACACCACCUCGAUCACCUACCCCAGAGAUGGAACCUCAUAAUUCACCAGUUCCUUCACCUCCUCCAACCAUUCCUACUUCCAUUCCGACCAUAAUCCCCACUACCACUAUUCCUCCAACCUCUUUCCCAAUACCACCACCCAUUUUCACAACUGCAACCGAAACACCACCAGUAACCGAAACCCCACCCGUAACUCAACCACCUCAAACCGAAACCCAACAUACAACCGAACCUACCUCCACUCAACCACCACCUGAAAGUAACCCCACACCCACUCAACCUGAACCAACCAAAACAACCACACCCCCAGCUUCAGCACCUCCACAAUCUCCAGAUAAUACCUCUGAUGGAGAUAACCCGUUUCUUGGCAGUGAUAACAUGAACUUCGAUUCGGUCUACUAUAGUCCGUUUCAGGUUCAAAGUGAUGAAGAGGAUGAUGCUCCAGUGACAAAGAAGCAUCUUAAGGAGCUCAACGAGAAGGUUGACCUACUUCUCGCCUCAUCUUCCAACCAACAGUCCUCUCUCUCUGAAGCUGCACUUCAAAAGAUUGUUGAUGCCUUCUCCAGGGCUCAGCAUGAU
rnacentral:lncRNA from 1 species